rnacentral:rRNA from 1 species
CAUGCAAGUCGAGCGGUAGAGAGAAGCUUGCUUCUCUUGAGAGCGGCGGACGGGUGAGUAAUGCCUAGGAAUCUGCCUGGUAGUGGGGGAUAACGUUCGGAAACGGACGCUAAUACCGCAUACGUCCUACGGGAGAAAGCAGGGGACCUUCGGGCCUUGCGCUAUCAGAUGAGCCUAGGUCGGAUUAGCUAGUUGGUGAGGUAAUGGCUCACCAAGGCGACGAUCCGUAACUGGUCUGAGAGGAUGAUCAGUCACACUGGAACUGAGACACGGUCCAGACUCCUACGGGAGGCAGCAGUGGGGAAUAUUGGACAAUGGGCGAAAGCCUGAUCCAGCCAUGCCGCGUGUGUGAAGAAGGUCUUCGGAUUGUAAAGCACUUUAAGUUGGGAGGAAGGGUUGUAGAUUAAUACUCUGCAAUUUU